rnacentral:rRNA from 1 species
AUACGUAGGUGACAAGCGUUAUCCGGAUUUACUGGGCGUAAAGGGCGUGUAGGCGGUCUUGCAAGUCAGAAGUGAAAUUCCUGAGCUCAACUCGGGCGCUGCUUCUGAAACUGCAGGACUUGAGUGCUGGAGGGGAUAGCGGAAUUCCUAGUGGAGCGGUAAAAUGCGCAGAUAUUAGGAAGAACACCGGUGGCGAAGGCGGCUAUCUGGACAGUAACUGACGCUGAGGCGCGAAAGCGUGGGGAGCAAACAGGAUUAGAUACCCUGGUAGUCCGCGCCGUAAACGAUGAAUACUAGGUGUAGGGGGUAUCGACUCCCUCUGUGCCGCAGUUAACACAAUAAGUAUUCCGCCUGGGGAGUACGGCCGCAAGGUUUAAACUCAAAGGAAUUGGCGGGG